AACCCUUUAAAAAAAUCAGUGAAUCCAGGAGCUGGGUUUUUGAAAAGACAGACAAAACAGACCAUUAGCCAGACAGAUAAAAAGAGAGAGAAGAAUCAAAUAGAUGCAAUUAAAAACAAUAAAGGGGAUAUCACCACCAAUUCCAC